UACAGAGGUCCCAAGCGUUGUUCGGAUUUACUGGGCGUAAAGGGCGCGUAGGUGGCGAGGCAAGUUUGAUGUGAAAUCUCCGAGCUCAACUCGGAAAUGGCAUUGAAUACUAUCCCGCUUGAGGGUCGGAGGGGAGACUGGAAUUCUCGGUGUAGCAGUGAAAUGCGUAGAUAUCGAGAGGAACACCAGUGGCGAAGGCGAGUCUCUGGACGACUCCUGACACUGAGGCACGAAAGCUGGGGGAGCAAACAGG
rnacentral:rRNA from 1 species